rnacentral:rRNA from 1 species
GUGGGGAAUAUUGGACAAUGGGCGCAAGCCUGAUCCAGCCAUGCCGCGUGAGUGAUGAAGGCCCUAGGGUUGUAAAGCUCUUUCACCGGUGAAGAUAAUGACGGUAACCGGAGAAGAAGCCCCGGCUAACUUCGUGCCAGCAGCCGCGGUAAUACGAAGGGGGCUAGCGUUGUUCGGAAUUACUGGGCGUAAAGCGCACGUAGGCGGACUGGUCAGUUAGGGGUGAAAUCCCAGGGCUCAACCCUGGAACUGCCUUUAAUACUGCCAGUCUAGAGUUCGAGAGAGGUGAGUGGAAUUCCGAGUGUAGAGGUGAAAUUCGUAGAUAUUCGGAGGAACACCAGUGGCGAAGGCGGCUCACUGGCUCGAUACUGACGCUGAGGUGCGAAAGCGUGGGGAGCAAACAGGAUUAGAAACCCGGGUAGUC